CGGGAGGUUCCAGCGCGGCGGGCCGGCGUGGGGCGGGGGCCGCUGCGGAGCCGGCUGCCUCGGGGGGAGGAGAACCAGGAGGAGGAGGAUGCGCUCGGCCUCUGCCUUCUGCGGUGCAACGCGGCUCUGCCUUCCAGGUUUGCUGAUGGCGUGACGUUACUGCUGUGGUAGUUGGGUCUGCUCGUCAACGUUUUAGAAAAGCAAGGAAACUUCAUUCAGGGGAAGCUUUGCUUUGUAGGAGGACCAUGUUGUGGAUUCGGCCACCUUAUCACUUUUAACUCAUGUUUGGCGUGUCUUCGCAGGAUGCUGCCGGAUGCCUUUCUGGGUGAUGGUGCACAGCAGCAACUGCUACUCUUUCUGGAAGCCUUGCAAUUGCAAUACCAUGGUGGUGGGAGGAGGUCACUCCUCCUUUGCUGUGCCAGCCCUAUGCCUGUUGAGUAUUUUUUAGGGGUCCAGGAAAGGGAAGACUUGUCAUUGAUGCCUGUGUUUGAAAGUGCCACGGGACUAGUCUCAAGAUGUUCUGGGGUUUAAUUCUUCUGAACCGGACAACAUGAGACUCGCAAUCUGAGUCUUAUUUCUAACGUAAAAUGGAGAAAGUAAUACCUGUCUUUGCUACUUCACUUCCUCUGAGAAGAUCAUGUGCGGGAGGUGAUGUGUGUGAAAGAUAGAAAGCAGUAUGCUCUUUUUCUAUGUAAGGUGGCACUAUUACUUGAGAUGGCGGAAAGCAGAACAUUUUUUACAACAGGUCUCAAAAGCCUUAGAUGCCUGUUGUGUUGCCAUUUAGUUUAUAUUAGCAAAGCAGAGUUUGGGUGUGGGAUUGUAGAUGGCAGGCUUUGGGAGAAAUAAUUGUUACAUUUCAUAUUAAAUGACAUCCUUGAGAAACUCAUAAA